UACGUAGGCAGCAAGCGUUGUUCGGAUUUACUGGGCGUAAAGGGCGCGUAGGCGGGUGCUCAAGUCCGUGGUGAAAUCCUCCGGCUCAACCGGAGAACUGCCUCGGAUACUGGGUGCCUCGAGGGUGGUAGGGGUAUGCGGAACUAUCGGUGGAGCGGUGAAAUGCGUUGAUAUCGAUAGGAACUCCGGUGGCGAAGGCGGCAUACUGGACCACCUCUGACGCUGAGGCGCGAAAGCCAGGGGAGCAAACGGG
rnacentral:rRNA from 1 species